GAUGAACGCUGGCGGCGUGCCUAAUACAUGCAAGUCAAGCGAACGGACGAGAAGCUUGCUUCUCUGAUGUUAGCGGCGGACGGGUGAGUAACACGUGGAUAACCUACCUAUAAGACUGGGAUAAUUUCGGGAAACCGGAGCUAAUACCGGAUAAUAUUUUGAACCGCAUGGUUCAAAAGUGAAAGACGGUCUUGCUGUCACUUAUAGAUGGAUCCGCGCUGCAUUAGCUAGUUGGUAAGGUAACGGCUUACCAAGGCAACGAUGCAUAGCCGACCUGAGAGGGUGAUCGGCCACACUGGAACUGAGACACGGUCCAGACUCCUACGGGAGGCAGCAGUAGGGAAUCUUCCGCAAUGGGCGAAAGCCUGACGGAGCAACGCCGCGUGAGUGAUGAAGGUCUUCGGAUCGUAAAACUCUGUUAUUAGGGAAGAACAUAUGUGUAAGUAACUGUGCACAUCUUGACGGUACCUAAUCAGAAAGCCACGGCUAACUACGUG
rnacentral:rRNA from 1 species